rnacentral:tRNA from 1 species
CAGGGUGUAGCUUAACACAGAAAAGUAUCUCUCUUACACUGAGAAGCCAUCCGUGCAAACCGGAUCACCCUGA